CAAUAAAUAAAAUCACAGUUUGCAAUCGACGUGCAACUAUAUUGCAAUUACUAAAGAAGUGCAAUAAAAAUAAUUUUGAGAAAAAUGAAGAACUUGCUGGUUUUUGCAUCGGUCAUUGCUCUAGCUGUUGCAUUACCUGCCCGUGAACCAGUGGACCCUGAUACUGCUGCACCAGCCCCGGUUCCAGAACCGAGUGUGGAAGACCCUGCUGUUUUGAACGGUGAGCCUGAUGCUGUUGGACCUGUCGAUCAACAAGAAGGUAUUCCAGCAGCACUUGCAUCGCCAAAAGAAGUUAAGUCAGCCGUUUCUACCUCCGGAAUGCUUGUGCAGAACAUCUUUAGAAUUGAUUAUAUUCAGACCGCCUUCAGCAACAUGGGCUCAGUUACGAUAUACCAAUAAUAGUCAUGCCUAGCUACACGUGAUUUCAAUAUCGAACUGCCUGUAUUAUUCGAGCCGACCCAACCUCGCCCAGAAGUAUUCGAGCCGGCCCAACCUCGCCCAGAAGUAUUCGAGCCGCUCCAACCUCACCCAAAUGUGAUCAAGCCGAUCCAAUCUCACCCAGUAGUGAUAUUGCCAGAACGUGUUUUGAACUAGGCACUGUAAGAAGUUAAUAUUAAGAUUAGUCUUAAAAUAAUCAUGUAAUCUUUUAAUUUUAAUAAAAAUAGUUUAUUUUGUCAUAU